rnacentral:lncRNA from 1 species
AUGCUUUCCUUAUCUGGUUAAAACCUGACAAAUAGUUCAGUUUGAGGAACUAGUGUUUCCACGAAGCACUGCAACGCAGAAGGACAGAGUCUGUGGUUUUAGGGACGUAAUCUAAAAAAGGCCAACCUUGGAAUGAAAGUUCAAAAUAACAUCUCUAGGAAAAGGUCAAUUUUCAUGGCUUAAUGCAUUAGAAUAUAUCAAUGGAAUUAAUAAUAGGUUUAUCACAUUUUCUUCACCUACACCCAUCUCAGCCACCAGAUUCGCGAGAGAUUUAGCUACAGCAGAGAAAUGCUACUGCUGCCUGUUUUGCUCACUCCUCUCCAGAGAUUUCUGCCUCGACCACGGUGGUUAAAAAACUGGGAAGAAGCUUCUUGGCCCCUGCAGCUUAGUCUCUGCCGUUGUAGUUUCAGCCAGCUCCGUUCUCAAGUGUGUACUAUCAUCAUCCAGAGGAAGUCCUCCUUAAUCUCCGCUUGUCUUGAAUGA